AUCAUGCGGCGGAUUAUUUCGUGGCUAGCUUACGCUGUUUGUGCAGUUGUUAUUCUUUCUGGAUCACAUUUUUUCUUGUCUUUGAUCUACGACGAAAUCGGCUCAAGAAUCGUAACUUCUUGCGGAUGUUCUGUAUUUGGCGGUUGUUGCUCUGGUUCAAUUUCUGACCACGAUGGAAGCGUAGUGUGAUCUUGGCUACUCUACUGCCGCGCACGGUAUGAUGGCGAUGAUGGUUUCCCUCUCUGUAAAAUGGGUAAAGGUGUUGCGCGGUGUUGCUCUGUGCUGCUGAGAAAACAACCUGUAGCGUGAACGUUUGCAGUAAAGGGCUUACUAAAAGUUGUGUCGGAAGCCCGCCCUCAAUCCUGAACGCAUUCUUGCUAAUCUGAUACUAGGAAAUCGAGGUGGCAAGUGUUGCUUCGUACACCAAGCUGCUCAUGACAUCGGCAUGUGGUCCUCCGGCACCUCUAUCAGUAGAAUGGAGUCAUUAUUGGCAGCCAAAAUUCAAGAAUGAAAUCAAAUUUUUGGGAUUCUUGCGACGAGGACCGAGUCAAGAAGGGCACACAUGGCACAUUGUCUUCGUAAGAACUCGCAGACGGCACUGGGGUGGAAUUUUGUCCUUGGCUACUCAACAUCCUUUUAAAAAACUCUAAGUGGGAAGCUGCUGAAUUGUUACAAGGUGACCCUAUAUCGAGUCCUUGGAGCGAUCCUUGCACGUGAAGUUAGGUGGAAGAAGUUCGACAUUGAGGGACUUGUAUUACUCCCAGCGGAGGUCGCUGCUUAGUGGGAAGGGAUCCAAGGUGGAGCAGCACGUCACUCUAUAGUCAGCUUUCGACUUCUAGGCAAAAUUGGAUCGGCUGCCAUACCUCCUCAAAGUCAUCACACUUGCGAGGUGAUGGAAGUUAGACAUUGGAAUUUAGGAUUAGAAAGAGGAAGUUAAGUUUUUAUUUUAUUUUUUUAUUUUUUGAAAAAAUAUGUAAUAGUAAUAAUAAGAAAUAAAUAAAUAAAAUAAGGAUUUUGAUGAAUAUUUGAUC
rnacentral:lncRNA from 1 species